CGGUGAUAUGCUUAGAUAAAAGAUUAAGCCAUGCAUGUCUAAGACCACGUUGUUUGACGACGAAUCUGCGUACGGCUCAUUACAACAGCUAUAAUCUACUUGAUUUUGACAAUCCUAAUUGGAUAACUGCGUUAAUUUUGGAGCUAAUACAUGCAUAAAAGCUCUGAUCCUCGUGUGACGAGCGCAUUUAUUAGAUCAAGACCAAUCGGGGCAACCCGUUGUUGGUGACUCUGAAUAACGUAGCUGAUCGCAUGGUCUCGUACCGGCGACAGGUCAUUCGAGUGUCUGCCUUAUCAACUUUCGAUGGUAGUUUAUGUGACUACCAUGGUUGUAACGGGUAACGGAGAAUAAGGGUUCGACUCCGGAGAGGGAGCCUGAGAAACGGCUACCACAUCCAAGGAAGGCAGCAGGCGCGUAAAUUACCCACUCUCAAUGCGAGGAGGUAGUGACUAUCAAUAACGAGACCGAUCUCUUUGAGGCCGGUUAUCGGAAUGGGUACAAUUUAAACCCUUUAACGAGGAUCUAUGAGAGGGCAAGUCUGGUGCCAGCAGCCGCGGUAAUUCCAGCUCUCAAGGUGUAUAUCGUCAUUGCUGCGGUUAAAAAGCUCGUAGUUGGAUCUGAGCCAUUGGACUUGGUGCACUAAGGUGUAACUGAGCUCCUUGGCUAAACGGCUGGUUUUCUAUGCGUUGCCUUAACCGGUAGCGUAUAGUGGCUGGCAUGUUUACCUUGAAUAAAUUAGAGUGCUCAAGACAGGCGUUUUGCUUGAAUACUCGUGCAUGGAAUAAUAGAAUAGGACUUCGGUUCAUUCUGUUGGUUUUCGAACCAGAGUAAUGGUUAAGAGGGACUGACGGGGGCAUCCGUAUCGCUGCGUGAGAGGUGAAAUUCUUGGACCGCAGCGGGACGCUCGACUGCGAAAGCAUUUGCCAAGAAUGUCUUCAUUAAUCAAGAACGAAAGUCAGAGGAUCGAAGGCGAUUAGAUACCGCCCUAGUUCUGACCGUAAACGAUGCCAACUUGCGACCUGCCGGCGGUAGUUUAGCCCUGGCAGGGAGCAUACCGGAAACGAAAGUCUUCGGGUUCCGGGGGUAGUAUGGUUGCAAAGCUGAAACUUAAAGGAAUUGACGGAAGGGCACCACCAGGAGUGGAGCCUGCGGCUUAAUUUGACUCAACACGGGAAAACUCACCCGGCCCGGACACUGUAAUGAUUGACAGAUUGAGAGUUCUUUCUUGAUUCGGUGGUUGGUGGUGCAUGGCCGUUCUUAGUUGGUGGAGUGAUUUGUCUGGUUUAUUCCGAUAACGAACGAGACUCUAACCUGCUAACUAGAUCUCGGAUAGUUUAGUCCGACGAACUUCUUAGAGGGAUCAGCGGUGUUCAGCCGCACGAAAUUGAGCAAUAACAGGUCUGUGAUGCCCUUAGAUGUCCGGGGCUGCACGCGCGCUACACUGGAAGGUGCAGCGUGCUCUUUUCCUCUGCCGAAAGGCAUUGGUAAACCCUUGAAACCCUUCCGUGAUCGGGAUAGGGAAUUGCAAUUAUUUCCCUUCAACGAGGAAUUCCCAGUAAGUGUGAGUCAUCAGCUCACGUUGAUUACGUCCCUGCCCUUUGUACACACCGCCCGUCGCUGCCCGGGACUGAGCCGUUUCGAGAAAUGUGGGGACCGUUGCAACGAGGCUUAACGGCUUUGUUGCGAUGGAAACCGCAUUAAUCGCAGUGGCUUGAACCGGGCAAAAGUCGUAACAAGGUGCGA
rnacentral:rRNA from 1 species